rnacentral:rRNA from 1 species
UACGGGGGGAGCAAGCGUUGUUCGGAUUUACUGGGCGUAAAGGGCGCGUAGGCGGCCUCCGCAAGUCGACUGUGAAAUCUCCGGGCUUAACCCGGAACGGUCAGCCGAUACUGCGGGGCUAGAGUGCAGAAGGGGCAACUGGAAUUCUCGGUGUAGCGGUGAAAUGCGUAGAUAUCGAGAGGAACACCUGCGGCGAAGGCGGGUUGCUGGGCUGACACUGACGCUGAGGCGCGAAAGCUAGGGGAGCGAACGGG